AUUGAACGCUGGCGGCAGGCCUAACACAUGCAAGUCGAGCGGAUGAAGGGAGCUUGCUCCUGGAUUCAGCGGCGGACGGGUGAGUAAUGCCUAGGAAUCUGCCUGGUAGUGGGGGAUAACGUCCGGAAACGGGCGCUAAUAUCGCAUACGUCCUGAGGGAGAAAGUGGGGGAUCUUCGGACCUCACGCUAUCAGAUGAGCCUAGGUCGGAUUAGCUAGUUGGUGGGGUAAAGGCCUACCAAGGCGACGAUCCGUAACUGGUCUGAGAGGAUGAUCAGUCACACUGGAACUGAGACACGGUCCAGACUCCUACGGGAGGCAGCAGUGGGGAAUAUUGGACAAUGGGCGAAAGCCUGAUCCAGCCAUGCCGCGUGUGUGAAGAAGGUCUUCGGAUUGUAAAGCACUUUAAGUUGGGAGGAAGGGCAGUAAGUUAAGACCUUGCUGUUUUGACGUUACCAACAGAAUAAGCACCGGCUAACUUCGU
rnacentral:rRNA from 1 species